UUCCCUGUAGCUCAGAUGGUAAAGAAUCUGCCUGCAAUGCAGGAGAUGCAGGUUCGAUCCCUGUGUGGGGAA
rnacentral:tRNA from 1 species